rnacentral:rRNA from 1 species
UACGUAGGGUGCGAGCGUUAAUCGGAAUUACUGGGCGUAAAGCGUGCGCAGGCGGUGAUGUAAGACAGAUGUGAAAUCCCCGGGCUCAACCUGGGACCUGCAUUUGUGACUGCAUUGCUGGAGUGCGGCAGAGGGGGGAUGGAAUUCCGCGUGUAGCAGUGAAAUGCGUAGAUAUGCGGAGGAACACCGAUGGCGAAGGCAAUCCCCCUGGGCCUGCACUGACGCUCAUGCA